rnacentral:lncRNA from 1 species
CUUUUGUCCAGUUUAUGGCCCCUCUGGGGGAUGUCACAGGGUGCCACACACAGCGCUGGCACAAUGAGGGGCAGGGGGAAAGCAGCAGCGCCCAGGAGCUGGCAGGAGGAGCUCAGCACUGUUACCUGUGCAGGGCGGUUCUGCGCUUGCCACUCCUCUGGGCGAGGGUGAAGGGCAGCUCCCUCACCUCCUCCCGAUAUCUGCCCACUGCUAGGCACAGGCAGCUCCCUCCCAAGGCAGGCACGAGUGCCACACGGAAGUCACAGCACCUCUCGGUGCACAUGAGACCUCUGAGACCUCGGGCCAAGGAGCUGGGGAAGGAAACCGCAGCCUGAGAGAGCCCAGGAGGCUCCAGCCCAUCCUGCACGCCAGCCCUCUCCUUAGGGAUCUGCCCUGAGGGGCACCGAGGAAGGCUCUCCACUUCACCAUGCAGGAUGAAAUUCUGCUGACUCCCUGCAGGGAAUCCCCUGCUGAGGACACAGACUCCUUUGCCUCCCCGAAUGAAGAGAAGUGGGAUUUUGUCCUGGUGAGUGACAUCCACGAAAUGGGCAGUGAGAAGGAGAUCAAGAGAAAGAAGUUCCUGGAUGAGCUGAGCAAGAAGGGUUUCACCAUCAAGAAAAUCGAGGACACAAAGCUCUUUUAUGGAGUCCGUGCCCCGCCGCACAUCUUCUGGAAAUACCAGCGUCUCCUGACGAACCCCAACAGCAGGCAGCAAAACUCCAGUGCCUACCAGGACGUCCCAAUGACCACCAGGAUACGGGUCGUGCAUUUCAUCCUGCAGAACACUGUGACAUCCGACUUAGGUAAGGGAACGGGGAUCACAGGGGUGAUGCUGCUCAGCCUGGAUCUGCAGGAAGAAUUCUGCCCAAUCCUGGGCACUGGCAUCCCAGCUGCCUUGCCAUCCUGGGGGGAG